GUGAAAUGUAAACAAAAACAAGAGAUUCGCACUUGAAAUGAAACUACUGAGUUUAGUUGGCCGCUUGCAGUCAGAUACCUCUAGCUUCGGCUAUCAGCUCGAUGCUUCUUUCCAUAAUCUUCUCAAAAUUACGUGUCACAAUAUCAACAUCGUCAGCGAAGUCAAAGAGCUGUACGUACUUUCGGAAGAUCGUGUUGAUCCGCGCUCUUCGAAGCAAUAUUGAACAAGAGACAAAAGAAUCCAAAACCUUGCCGUAGCCCUCUCUGAGACUUGAAACGACUCGAGAGCGUCCCAGAUACUUGGACGUAGCACAUUACUCUCUCCAUCGUUGCUUCGACCAAUCACGUCAAAUUAUACGGAAAUCCGCAUUCGUGCAUAAUCUGCCAUAGCGAUUGUGUCGUAUGUCGCUUUGAAGUCAAUGGCGCGUUGUAUUCUCGACACUUCUGGAGUACUUGUCUCAUAACGAAUAUGUAAUUCGUAGUGGCGUACCGUGCCGGCAACGAAUAUUAUUGACUAACAAAAAUUUGAUUUCGGUUGUUUAAGGCAAUAAAAACUUCUCGUGUGUUAUCUU